rnacentral:rRNA from 1 species
AACGAACGCUGGCGGCAGGCCUAACACAUGCAAGUCGAGCGAGGACUUCGGUCCUAGCGGCGGACGGGUGAGUAACGCGUGGGAACGUGCCUUUUGCUUCGGAAUAGCCCUGGGAAACUGGGAGUUAUACCGGAUGAGCCCUUUGGGGGAACGAUUUAUCGUCGAAGUAUCGGCCCGCGUUGGAUUAGGUAGUUGGUGGGGUAAUGGCCUACCAAGCCGACGAUCCAUAGCUGGUUUGAGAGGAUGAUCAGCCACACUGGGACUGAGACACGGCCCAGACUCCUACGGGAGGCAGCAGUGGGGAAUCUUAGACAAUGGGGGAAACCCUGAUCUAGCCAUGCCGCGUGAGCGAUGAAGGCCUUAGGGUUGUAAAGCUCUUUCAGCUGGGAAGAUAAUGACGGUACCAGCAGAAGAAGCCCCGGCUAACUCCGUG